GAUUUCUAUGUGAUCAUCAUUAUUAGUGUGAGUGUGAUUCUGCUGCUGAUCAGUGGAUUCACUCUGACUGUGUGCAAAUUAAGACACAAGAGAAAAGGAAGAAUCUCAACAUCAGACAAGAGAAAGAGGAAGAAAAAUGCAAUAUCAUCAUGUGCAGACAGCAGACGUGAUUCUCUCUCAGAUCCUGGAUCAGCUCAAAUGAAGAAUCAUGAUGAUUUACCCACAAUCCCCUCUGAUGAGCUCCUGUACGCUGCUGUCAGUUUCCAGAAGCAUGAAGAAUCUCUCAGUGACGCUACAGUCAGAUUCAGUAAGAAUGAGAUUCACUCUGAUUAUGCCACGAUCAAAUUCACCACAUGACA